UUAAUUAUCUUACUAUUGAAAUAGGAUAGGAAUGUAUAUGGGGUAAUUAGAAGAGUAGGGUGCAGUACAAGCGUAGGGCAGAAGCCGAAGUAUAAAAAGCAGUACAAAUAAAAAUACGAAUAAAGAAGAAAAAUAAACUUUA